rnacentral:lncRNA from 10 species
GAUGCUCUCGGGCGCCACCAGCCCCAUGCGCUGUGCUUUGCACCCCACGGGUGGGGAGAGAAGGCGUUUUAUCUAUUAAAACACAGAGAUAAUCUCGAGAAGCCGUGGGACAAAGGACAGUAGGGCGUAGGUUGCGUGUCUCAGGAAUUAACAUUUUGAAUGGAAUGGAACUGAAGACUCAGCAGCCUUGGAGCAGCUUUUAUGCUAAUUGAGGAAACUAAGAAUCUUCACCCUCAGCGUGAAAAAACCUCCAACGGACCAUAAAACCAAACGUGUAAAAGACACAGAAACUCAACUGGGAAAAAAGAACCCCCAAAAGCCGUUAGUUCAGUGACGAGCUGAGUAGUCUCCAGCCAAAGCUUCCAGGAGACCAUGAAUUUAAAACUAGCGGCCGCACAAAGUUUUAUUGAAAAUAAUGUCAGGAUCUGAGAUCUGUAAGAGGACUCUCCUGUGCAGUAAGAGAAAGAAGCUUGUUUACAACUGUCAGAAAGUAGCUUCUUGGAGUCGGGAAGACGGGUUUUUAUCCGUCAUUUGAAGCGUGCCUUUGUGAGAAUUAAGACACGAUGUGAAAAAUCCCUCUCUCUCUUGAUUACUUUUCAGGACCAGAAGAGAGUAGCUCUCCCCAACCCCUCAUGCAGCGAAAAAAUGUAUGCAGCUGAAGUAAACGGCCCUGCACAGCGUUGCCAGCCGUAUAACUCUUAACAACCCAAACUAAUAAAUCCUAGAAACCUUUCAUACUUUGAUACGAUAUGGCUCUGUGUCGCCACCCAAAUCUCAUCUUCAUUUGUAAUCCCCAUUGUGGAAGUAGGGAAGUGAUUGGAUCAUGCAGGGCUGUUUCUCUCCUGCCGCUCUCCUGAUAGGGAGUUCCCACAAGAGCUGACGGUUUUAUAAGUGUUUGGAAGUUCCUCCUUCUUUCUUCUCUCUCCUGCUUGCCAUGUGAAGAAGGUGCUUGUUUCCGCUUCCCCUUUUGCCAUGAUUAUAAGUUUUCUAAGGCCUCCCCAGCCAUGUAGAACUGUGAAUCAAUUAAGCCUCUUUCCUUUAUAAAUUACCCAGUCUGCGCAGUUCUUUAUGGCACUGUGAAAACUGACUAAUACCUCAAUGUGACAGUGUCUUCUACUCCUCACUUAGGACAGUGAUUAUUUGGAAAGACAUGAUGUGAAAACCCCGUCUUGAUUACUUUGCUGCUACUGGACCUUCUGCUUACAACCACCAAUCAGAAAAGCUGUAGUUGUCAUUUAACCUGCAGUAGUUGUAUUUUCCCUCUGUGGAUUACUUUAAUGUUGAAUAUUAACACCAGCAACAGAUGUUGAUUACUAUCAGUGUUCCUACCUCUCAUUAAUAUGAACAUUAGGUUGUUGCUGUGUAGAUGUUUUUAAUUUAAUGACAUUUGCUGCCAUUAAGAUUACUAUCUUACUAGGUUUUCCUAUUGUGUCAGAAUAGUGUUGAGCCCAAUGUACUUAUUUUCCAAUGCCUAUUUCUUGUUAGUGAACACAAUCUCAAAUACUUUUCUUUCACAUAACAUAUACAUGGGG